CAAGCCCUGCGGUAUGCGAGGGAAACAGAGACAUUGUAGAACCUACAACUACAUAAUGGGCGUCUUAUUCCUCAUAUGGAAGGCAGGCCUCUUUUAGGGGAAGCCGGAAAUAAGGUGCGGAUGCCCACCUAGAACUGGGGUUCUAGUACAGCUUCUGUUUCUACGGUACGUGCGGGGCGUUU
rnacentral:other from 4 species